rnacentral:sRNA from 1 species
AGCUUCAACAUCCCCGCAGGCUGGGCGCGGACGUCGAAUAGCGGAUCUUAAUCAAGGGGUCGGCUAAGCGAUGACGCGCAGUGAGUCUGCUGCAGCC